rnacentral:lncRNA from 1 species
CAAGGAGUCUAACCAAAUGCUGGAGUUGAAGGUACAGAGCCAAAGUGAGGGGGUGAUCAUAUAUUGAAAAUAAGUACAACGAAAGGGGCAGAGACUGUGUGCCUUUUUUAUGGCCCCUCAACUAUCCUAUUUUAAUUCUGGCUUGGAAAAGAACUCAUUCCUUGGAUGGUUACACAGGGGUGUCAUUGAGAUCUGGUAUCAACCCAGGCCAUGGAGCUGAAUGGAGAAGAAAUGCCUUCCAUCCCUUCCAACCAUUUGGCUUCUCCAGUCCCUCACCUCAAGCAAACCUCAUCAAGGUUUUCCGAUUUCCAGACCCAGGUCCUGAGCAACUAUGUAAAUGCAAACAAACACUGGUGAUGACUGUAAGGUAUGGUGAUCACCCCUCUUCCACCCAAUUAACAACCUUCAGGAGAAAAAAAUAGAGGAAGGAGAGGAGUGUUUGCUGGUUGCAGCUCUCUAGGAAUAGCCAAGGAGUUGGCAAAGGAAGCUCACUCUCCCUGCUGCUUCUGCCUCUGAA